AUGCGGCUCUACUCCAGCCUCUGGAAUGCCGACGACUGGGCCACGCAGGGCGGACGCGUCAAGACGGAUUGGUCCCACGCGCCGUUCUCCGCCUCCUACCGCGGCUUCAAGGCCGACGCGUGCGUGGUAAUCGCCGGCGGCCAGCCUCACUGCGGCGCCAGCGUCGGCACGGAGGUUGCCCCCGGCUCAGGCGCGGCCGAAGAUUGGUACGACCAGGAGCUGGACCUGUCGCGGCAGCAGCGGAUGCGGUGGGUGCAGAGCAACUACAUGAUCUACAACUACUGCACGGGCCCCAAGCGCUUCGCCAAGGGCGUCCCGGCCGAGUGCACCAUGUAG
rnacentral:rRNA from 1 species